GGAUGUGUGGACCAUCUGGCUGUGACAUCUGUCACUCCAUUGAUCCCCAGGGUUGAUUGGAUUGAUCUGGCUGGUUAGGCGUGAUUCCCCUUCCUCCCUCACUGCUCCAAGUCUGUCCCUGACAAAGCUGAGCAAAGAUGACGAGGACCUUCCCUGAUAGAGGAGGACCAUUCGUCUGUCAAGGAUAAACAGGUAGCUAUGCGCCCCCUACUAGAACCGUCAAACAAGCUCUCAAGAUCCAUUUGUAGGAGAUCCUGAGUGGUCAGGUUUCCAAGACUCUAGACACAUACAAAUGAGGCGCUGCAUGGGGCAGUUUGCCUUUUUUU
rnacentral:snRNA from 1 species